rnacentral:rRNA from 1 species
GAUGAACGCUGGCGGCGUGCCUAAUACAUGCAAGUCGAGCGAACAGACGAGGAGCUUGCUCCUCUGACGUUAGCGGCGGACGGGUGAGUAACACGUGGAUAACCUACCUAUAAGACUGGGAUAACUUCGGGAAACCGGAGCUAAUACCGGAUAAUAUAUUGAACCGCAUGGUUCAAUAGUGAAAGACGGUUUUGCUGUCACUUAUAGAUGGAUCCGCGCCGAAUUAGCUAAUUGGUAAGGUAACGGCUUACCAAGGCAACGAUGCGUAGCCGACCUGAGAGGGUGAUCGGCCACACUGGAACUGAGACACGGUCCAGACUCCUACGGGAGGCAGCAGUAGGGAAUCUUCCGCAAUGCGCGAAAGCCUGACGGAGCAACGCCGCGUGAGUGAUGAAGGUCUUCGGAUCGUAAAACUCUGUUAUUAGGGAAGAACAAAUGUGUAAGUAACUAUGCACGUCUUGACGGUACCUAAUCAGAAAGCCACGGCUAACUACGUG